rnacentral:rRNA from 1 species
AUUGAACGCUGGCGGCAGGCCUAACACAUGCAAGUCGAACGAGUGGCGGACGGGUGAGUAAUGUCUGGGAAACUGCCUGAUGGAGGGGUAUAACUACUGGAAACGGUAGCUAAUACCGCAUACCAUCAGAUGUGCCCAGAUUGGAUUAGCUACUUGGUGGGGUAAAGGCUCACCAAGGCGACGAUUCCUAGCUGGUCUGAAAGGAUGACCGGCCACACUGGAACGGAGACACGGUCCAGACUCCUACGGGAGGCAGCAGUGGGGAAUAGUGCACAAUGGGGGCAAGCCUGAUACAGCCAUGCCGCGUGUAUGAAGAAGGCCUUCGGGUUGUAAAGUACUUUCAGUAGGGAGGCGUUACCCACAGAAGAAGCACCGGCUAACUCCGUGCCAGCAGCCGCGGUAAUUC